rnacentral:rRNA from 1 species
GAUGAACGCUAGCGGCAGGCCUAAUACAUGCAAGUCGAACGGUGUCUUCGGACAUAGUGGCGCACGGGUGCGUAACACGUAUGCAACCUACCUUACAUUGGGGGAUAGCCUUUCGAAAGGGAGAUAAUACCGCAUAAGACAGUAGCUGGGCAUCCAGCAGCUGUUAAAGAUUUAUCGAUGUAAGCUGGGCAUGCGUCCAAUUAGCUAGUUGGUGAGGUAACGGCUCACCAAGGCAAUGAUUGGUAGGGGAACUGAGAGGUCAAUCCCCCACACUGGCACUGAGAUACGGGCCAGACUCCUACGGGAGGCAGCAGUAGGGAAUAUUGGGCAAUGGACGCAAGUCUGACCAGCCAUGCCGCGUGCAGGAUGAAGGCGUUAUGCGUUGUAAACUGCUUUUAUACGGGAAGAAACGACUCUUGCGAGAGGCAUUGACGGUACUGUAUGAAUAAGCACCGGCUAACUCCGUGCCAGCAGCCGCGGUAACAC